rnacentral:pre_miRNA from 1 species
AAUAAAUAUAGUUUUACACUGUUCACGUUUAAUGUUUGACCGUUCGUCUUAUUUAAAAAAUUUUUAUGAUUAGUAUUUUUAUUGCUAUUAGAUGAUAAAACAUAAAUAGUACUUUAUGCGUAACUAAAUAUUUUUCAAAUUUUUCACAAAUUUUUUAAAUAAGACGGACAGUCAAACGUUGGGCACGGAUAUCGCUGCAUUUAUU